rnacentral:rRNA from 1 species
AUUGAACGCUGGCGGCAUGCCUAACACAUGCAAGUCGAGCGUUCGUCGGGCGCGUGAGUAUAAUCUGUGAACCUGCCUGAUGUAGGGGGAUAACUACUGUAGACGGUAGCUAAUACCGCCUACCAUCAGCUUUUCCCAGAUGGUAUUAGCUGGUGGGUGGGGUAACGCCUCACCUAGGCGACGAUCCCUAGCUGGUCUGAGAGGAUGACCAGCAAAACGGGAACUGAGACACGGUCCAGACUCCAACGGGAGGAAGCAGUGGGAAAUAUUGGAAAAGGGGGGAAAGCCUGAUGCAGCCAUGCGGCGUGUGUGAAGAAGGCCUUCGGGUUGUAAAGCACUUUAAGCGGGGAGGCGGUACCCGCAGAAGAAGCAACGGCUAACUCCGUGCCAGCAGCCGCGGUAAUUC